UGGAUGGCGAUGGUGACGACCCGUGGGAGAGACGCUCCUUCACUCCCCUCCGCACGUUCUCCAGUCUCCCUCCACUCUUUUUUGUCCUCCCCCGCGGAUCCCUCGCCCCAUUCCUCUCCCUCCCGAGCUCCUCUUCCCCCGGAGCCUCCUCCUCCCAGCCACCGUGGCGGAGUUCGAGCGCGCGCCGUCGAUCGAGCCCCGAUCGACGCCCGAUCCAGCUCCGGAUCGGCGGAAGGCGGCGCUUCCGGCCAGAGAGGGAGGGAGGAAGACCAUGCGGCCGCUCUGUCUGAAGAACACGGAAGCAAUGGUGCUUUUGCUGGCGCGUGAGGAAAACCAUGAAUCCACACGCGGCGCCGUAAGUGUCCAAUGCGUGCUUUUCAUGGGAUGAUCGACCGCGUUAGGAUUGCAUGCGGUAUAAGCUGCUCCUGUUUAUCUCUAGUUAGCUGCUAGCUAGCGCCAAUUUUGCGUAGAGAUGUCAAUUUUACAUCUUUUUCAUGGCCGACCAUGAACCAUGAGAGGCUGACCAUGAACGAGGUAGAAAUUGUUCGCUACAAGUAUGAACAAUUUUACAUCUUUUUCAUGGUCGGCCUCUCUGCUUCAGCUCAAGCAUGAUUCUGCUAUUGAUGCAAUAACAUCAAUUCUUCGGCAGCUGCUUCUCGCAAAACUCGAGAAUCCCUAAUUCCCAUGAGAGUUCCCUGAUGAAAUGCUUACACCAAAUAAUGAGAUGAGUUUAAAAUUGGCUUGUUUCUAAUGAGAGGCUCCACAAGCACAACUCCAAAACUAUAAACAUCACUCCUCCCAGUCAGUUCAUACUCCCUGUCUAAGUAUAACCAAUCCUACCAUGCAUGUACAAUUGUCGCCACAGGAGUAUGUUCGAGUAAUACAGACCUUAAAUCACCCAAGUCAGAUGCCUUUGUAUAAAAUUGUCAUGUAACAAUAUAUUGGCUGAUUUGACAUCCCUAUGGAAAAUUGGCAUUGUAGCAGCUAAGUAGAGAUAAGCAAGAGCAGUCGCAGUUUCUACUGCAAUCCUAAUGCGAUCAUCCCAUGAAAGCAAGCACUUAACACUCGCUUAAGUGUUUGAAGGACAUAGUGUUCCAUUAGAUAUGAACUCAUAGACCAGCAAAGGCACCAAUGUUUCCAAACAACUACUCAUAGACAAUUGUUCUGGACUGACUUCCGAAUUCAAGAUAAAGCCUCAAACCUGGUGGAUACCGGGCGUUCUCAGGCCAUUUGCCGUCCGA